rnacentral:rRNA from 1 species
AGUGAACGCUGGCGGUAGGCCUAACACAUGCAAGUCGAACGGAAGGACAGUAAGCGCUUGCUCUUACGGGUGGCGAGUGGCGGACGGGUGAGGAAUACAUCGGAAUCUAAUUUAUCGUGGGGGAUAACGUAGGGAAACUUAUGAUACUACAGAAUACGACCUACGGCAGAAAGCAGGGGAUAUUCGGACCUUGCCCGAUAGAAAGAGCCGAAGUCGAAUUAGCUAGUUGGCGGGGUAAAGGCACACCAAGGCGACGAUCCGUAGCUGGUCUGAGAGGAUGAUCAGCCACACUGGAACUGAGACACGGUCCAGACUCCUACGGGAGGCAGCAGUGGGGAAUCUUGGCCAAUGGGCGCAAGCCUGAUCCAGCCAUCCCGCGUGGGUGAAGAAGGCCUUCGGAUUGUAAAGCUCUUUUGUUGGGGAAGAAAAGCAGUAUAUUAACCCACCGCCGUUUUGACGGUACCCAAAGAAUAAGCACCGGCUAACUACGUG